UACGUAGGGGCGAGCGUUGUCCGGAUUUAUUGGGCGUAAAGCGCUCGCAGGCGGUCCGAGUGCGAUCGUGCGUGAAAGCCCCCGGACUUCAACUGGGGAGGGUCGUGCGAAUACGGUCGGACUUGAGGCCAGUUAGGGGGAUGCGGAAUUCCGGGUGUAGUGGUGGAAUGCGUAGAGAUCCGGAGGAACACCAGCGGCGAAGGCGGCAUCCUGGACUGGUCCUGACGCUCAGGAGCGAAAGCGUGGGGAGCGAGUCGG
rnacentral:rRNA from 1 species